rnacentral:rRNA from 1 species
AGAGUUUGAUCCUGGCUCAGGAUGAACGCUGGCGGCGUGCUUAACACAUGCAAGUCGAACGAGCCUUCGGGCUAGUGGCGGACGGGUGAGUAACGCGUGAGAAUCUGCCCUCAGGAGGGGGAUAACGGCUGGAAACGGCCGCUAAUACCCCAUAUGCCGCGAGGUGAAAUGAGAAAUCGCCUGAGGAUGAGCUCGCGUCUGAUUAGCUAGUUGGUGGGGUAAGAGCCUACCAAGGCAUCGAUCAGUAGCUGGUCUGAGAGGAUGAUCAGCCACACUGGGACUGAGACACGGCCCAGACUCCUACGGGAGGCAGCAGUGGGGAAUUUUCCGCAAUGGGCGCAAGCCUGACGGAGCAACGCCGCGUGAGGGAUGAAGGCCUCUGGGCUGUAAACCUCUUUUCUCAAGGAAGAAGAACUGACGGUACUUGAGGAAUAAGCCACGGCUAAUUCCGUGCCAGCAGCCGCGGUAAUACGGGAGUGGCAAGCGUUAUCCGGAAUUAUUGGGCGUAAAGCGUCCGCAGGCGGUCUUGAAAGUCUGUUGUUAAAGCGUGGAGCUCAACUCCAUUUCAGCAAUGGAAACUAGAAGACUAGAGUGUGGUAGGGGCAGAGGGAAUUCCCGGUGUAGCGGUGAAAUGCGUAGAUAUCGGGAAGAACACCAGUGGCGAAGGCGCUCUGCUGGGCCAUAACUGACGCUCAUGGACGAAAGCCAGGGGAGCGAAAGGGAUUAGAUACCCCUGUAGUCCUGGCCGUAAACGAUGAACACUAGGUGUCGGGGGAAUCGACCCCCUCGGUGUCGUAGCCAACGCGUUAAGUGUUCCGCCUGGGGAGUACGCACGCAAGUGUGAAACUCAAAGGAAUUGACGGGGGCCCGCACAAGCGGUGGAGUAUGUGGUUUAAUUCGAUGCAACGCGAAGAACCUUACCAGGGUUUGACAUCCUGCGAAUCCUUUGGAAACAGAAGAGUGCCUUCGGGAGCGCAGAGACAGGUGGUGCAUGGCUGUCGUCAGCUCGUGUCGUGAAUGUUGGGUUAAGUCCCGCAACGAGCGCAACCCACGUCUUUAGUUGCCAGCAUUAAGUUGGGCACUCUAGAGAGACCGCCGGUGAUAAACCGGAGGAAGGUGUGGAUGACGUCAAGUCAUCAUGCCCCUUACAUCCUGGGCUACACACGUACUACAAUGCUACGGACAGAGGGCAGCAAACUCGCGAGAGCUAGCAAAUCCCAUAAACCGUGGCUCAGUUCAGAUCGUAGGCUGCAACUCGCCUACGUGAAGGAGGAAUCGCUAGUAAUCGCAGGUCAGCAUACUGCGGUGAAUACGUUCCCGGGCCUUGUACACACCGCCCGUCACACCAUGGAAGUUGGCCAUGCCCGAAGUCG